rnacentral:misc_RNA from 1 species
AUGUCUAUCAGUGGGCCUGCGGGUGGGUAUUGUAUAUAGAUGAUAUUGCUUUGUUUUUUAUAUUUUCAGAAUUGGUUGCAUUUUUUGAAAAAAAUUCCUGAUGGGGGAAAAAAGGAAGGAGAAAUACCUAUUUUGAAUAAGGCUUUUCCCUUUAUGAAAUUAUCCUUGGCAAACAUAAAAUGACUUUGCAAAAGGCUGGUGGAAACAAUUUGAAUUCAAAAUGAGCAAUUGUGUCGGUGCUUAUCAGUUUUUCUUACUGUCUGUUUCUCUUGUGUCUGAGUUAUGGUUGCAUCGAUUGUGAUGCUUCUUUCUUUAAAUGGGUUAGUUGUCUUUUGCAUGCACUUUUU